rnacentral:ncRNA from 22 species
ACAGUACAAACUGAGCAGGCGAUGAACUUUAUUUCUAUAAAGUCAUGGGGCCGGGCCGCAAGAUGCGGCAACAGAUUGAAUUUCAAUUCACAUCUGUGGGACAGUA